ensembl:lncRNA
AGGUGACGGCCCGGGGCUCGCCCUAAGCAGCUUUUAUCGGGGGAUAAAGGGCAAACCUCGACGUGGGUCGGGCUGUCCCGCAGGAUGGGAACGGCACGGACUGAAGCCGCUCCUCCUCAAGCCCUGACCCAGUUCUCACGCAGAGCCUUGGCAGCUCGCCGCAGCUAUCCACGUGUUUGAAAAGCAUCGAUCCUGAGUUACUUCUGGAUUGGAAUGCAGCUGAUGCUGUGAGGGGACAAGUCUUCUAAAGAGGCCGAGGAAUAAGAACUGCUCCUUCCCCAGUCCUUACAGCACUGCUCCCCACACUCGUGGGAAACGGCUCCUGCCGAGCGGUUCUCUCCUCUGCACUGCCCUCCUACCAACACACGUGCUGUGACUUUACAUCCCACUGCCAGUCCUCCAGCUUUAAUGCAGCUUCUAUUUAGCUCUAGCUACUUCACAGGGGAGAAAGAGUGUUAAAAAAACCCAAAAAGUGCAAGCCGGGCCCUGUAUAAAUAAUUAACAUUGGUUUAACAGCAUUCGUGAUUUUACUAUUAAUGUGCGCCUUGCUGCAGCUGCCCAGGCCCAGCAGUGAGAGCGCCCUGCUGGAGGGCAGCCCGAGUCAUCCCCAUGCCCUCCUGCUGGGUGGGUCACCACUGCCUGGAAAUCCUCUGUCAGUCCAUUCUGAAACCCCACAUAGCUUCCACCUGGCUCACAAACCGCUUCAGCAAAACCUCAACGAGAACAUUCCCCUCUGAUAACACUGGGGAGAGCAAAAGAAACAAAAAGGUCACCACUUCCUUAAAAUCAUUUCUCUUCCACUGCUUUACUGGAUGUGGACACCAGCCAAGCCCUCACCAAACCCUCCCCCUUUUCUUUUUCGGUUUCUUUGGAAGAAGCCUGCUGUGGGCCGCUCUGCAGCAGCUGGGAAGCUCAGCCACUGCUGUGCACAGGCAUCAAGUGCUCACAGCAGAGGAUGCUGAUCCUCAGCCCCCUCCUGGGCAGCACAGCAGGCUUGGACACAGUCGUGCCCAACAAGACAGCCUCACAGGCUUUGGCAUUAUCUAACUCAGUUUUCUUUUCAGUCUCAUCUGGUAGAUAAACAGGUGUGGCUGCUGACUUCAUCAAGAA